CCUACGGGCGGCAGCAGUGGGGAAUAUUGGACAAUGGGGGAAACCCUGAUCCAGCGACGCCGCGUGAGUGAAGAAGUAUUUCGGUACGUAAAGCUCUAUCAGCAGGAAAGAAAAUGACGGUACCUGACUAAGAAGCCCCGGCUAACUACGUGCCAGCAGCCGCGGUAAUACGUAGGGGGCAAGCGUUAUCCGGAUUUACUGGGUGUAAAGGGAGCGUAGACGGCAGCGCAAGUCUGGAGUGAAAUGCCGGGGCGCAACCCCGGAACUGCUCUGGAAACUGUGAAGCUGGAGUGCAGGAGAGGUAAGUGGAAUUCCUAGUGUAGCGGUGAAAGGCGUAGAUAUUAGGAGGAACACCAGGGGCGAAGGCGGCUUACUGGACUGUAACUGACGUUGAGGCUCGAAAGCGUGGGGAGCAAACAGGAUUAGAUACCCCUGUAGUC
rnacentral:rRNA from 1 species